rnacentral:rRNA from 1 species
CCAGUACCGUGAGGGAAAGGCGAAAAGAACCCCGGCGAGGGGAGUGAAAAAGAACCUGAAACCGUGUACGUACAAGCAGUGGGAGCACCUUCGGGUGUGACUGCGUACCUUUUGUAUAAUGGGUCAGCGACUUAUAUUCUGUAGCAAGGUUAACCGUAUAGGGGAGCCGCAGGGAAACCGAGUCUUAACUGGGCGUUAAGUUGCAGGGUAUAGACCCGAAACCCGGUGAUCUAGCCAUGGGCAGGUUGAAGGUUGGGUAACACUAACUGGAGGACCGAACCGACUAAUGUUGAAAAAUUAGCGGAUGACUUGUGGCUGGGGGUGAAAGGCCAAUCAAACCGGGAGAUAGCUGGUUCUCCCCGAAAGCUAUUUAGGUAGCGCCUCGUGAACUCAUCUUCGGGGGUAGAGCACUGUUUCGGCUAGGGGGUCAUCCCGACUUACCAACCCGAUGCAAACUACGAAUACCGAAGAAUGUUAUCACGGGAGACACACGGCGGGUGCUAACGUCCGUCGUGAAGAGGGAAACAACCCAGACCGCCAGCUAAGGUCCCAAAGUCAUGGUUAAGUGGGAAACGAUGUGGGAAGGCACAGACAGCCAGGAUGUUGGCUUAGAAGCAGCCAUCAUUUAAAGAAAGCGUAAUAGCUCACUGGUCGAGUCGGCCUGCGCGGAAGAUGUAACGGGGCUAAACCAUGCACCGAAGCUGCGGCAGCGACACUAUGUGUUGUUGGGUAGGGGAGCG